rnacentral:rRNA from 1 species
CACUUCCUACGGGGGGCAGCAGUGGGGAAUAUUGCACAAUGGGGGAAACCCUGAUGCAGCGACGCCGCGUGAGUGAAGAAGCAUUUCGGUACGUAAAGCUCUAUCAGCAGGGAAGAAAAAAAGUCCUUUGGACUUUGGACGGUACCUGACUAAGAAGCCCCGGCUAACUACGUGCCAGCAGCCGCGGUAAUACGUAGGGGGCAAGCGUUAUCCGGAUUUACUGGGUGUAAAGGGAGCGUAGACGGCAGCGCAAGUCUGGAGUGAAA